AGUAGAUGUCCUAACCGACUUGCCGAAACUAUAGUUUGUUAACAAGAAAUUUGUGGAGUGUGUAUGUAAACUUCUGACUUCAACUGUAUAUUGGCAAGACUUUUUUGGCUAGUGUGUGUGUGUGUCCAGAUGUUCCACCCCUUUACACUUGCACACAUCUGUCAUGGAUCUAAAAGCAUUCGAUUGGUGUAGUUGUUGGCUGCAGGGAGUUUCCACCAUUGUUAAAUCCAUGACGGGAAGUGUGCAGUUACAAACUUUGGGGAAAGGGUGGAGGAUUGGGAUGCGGCCUGUCUGUGUCGAGUCAGUGUAGACCCAACCACAACAGGUUUUAUUAGUCGUAUGUUCAGGAUACACACCGUAUACACUGUCCAACCAAAUGAUUACUGGCAGGUUCCUUCUCGACAAUCCAACAACAAUAAGAAAUAAUAAAAUAUAAGAAUUCAAACAUAAA